rnacentral:lncRNA from 1 species
GCUGUGCAUGCACAGUGCCUGGUGCUGUGGGCUGNGGGAUCUGCGGUGCCCCCGGGAUUGGUGCCCCGGGAUUGGUGCCCACAGGAUCUGCGGUGCCCCCGAGAUCUGCGCUUCCCAUCCCGGUCUCGCCUUUCAGCUCCGCACAGAAAGCGAAACGAGAGCCGGGCUGGCUCAGCCCAGAGGUUUCCCCGGGGUUUUUCCCCUCGCACCUUCCUGCCCUGCAGCGGGGAGGGCUCGGGUGGUUUUGUCCUUGUCCCCGAGGUUUCUGGAGGGAGCGGCUCCGCAGCGCCGGGGGCACAGCGGGGGCUGGGGGGGAUUCUGCCAACUUGGGAGGAGAAAGGAGUUUGGUGCUGCCCGGCUGCUGCAGCCUGGAGCCAGGCUGGAGUCCAGCCCAGAGCCCAGCUUAGAGCCCAGCCUGAAACCCAGCCUAGAGCCCAGUCUAAAGCCCAGCCCAGCAGCAGGGCUCAGAGGUGUUGGGCACAAAAAGCAUUUUCGGGGCUGUUUCCUCAGGAACCCAAUUUUGGGAGAGGAGCCAGGGGUCCAGGAUAGGGUUGGUGUGUUCCGUUUGUCCUGCAGAGUCCCUGCUCCUUGUCCCAAGGAGGCUGCAGCAGUGCAGAGGGAAACUGAGGCACGGAGCCGGGCAGGGAUCGGGCUCUCCCAGCUCCUUCCCGUUCGUGUCGCUGGGCUGAGCUCGGGGCAAAGCUGCCCGGUCCCGGGUAGGGCUGGGGCCGAGCCCAAGGUUUGGGAUUUUGGGAUUUUGGGAUUUUGGGAUUUUGGGAUUUCGGGAUUUUGGGAUUUUGGGAUUGUUCUCCCCGUCCUCCCCCAGCUCUCUCUGCUGGGAGGCAGGAGGGGGCAGGGGGGUGAGAUAUUUCAGGAUUUUCACGGCUUUUUCCAACCCAUCAGCCCCUCUGUGAACCCCAGACCCGCCGGGGGGUCCCGGGGAGGGGGAAUUUUCCCGCAGCCCUUUUCCCCUCCCGCAGCCGGAACAUUUCACCCCCAGGGUGAAGGGGCUGCCCUUGAGCAUCCCUGCCAGGGAUCUCUGCCCCUGUCACUUCCCACCUCAGAACCUGUUGCUCUUCCUCCUGGCUGCACUUGGGGUGGGAGAAUCCCCCCUGUGCCCAUCCUGGAGCCUUUUGCACGGCAGGGAGAGGCUGAGCAGGAUAUUUCAGAGCUGCUUUUCAGGGAAUGGUUCAAACUGGGGAAACUGGGAGCUGGGGUGAGGUUGUGCUGGGAGGGGGGAGAUGCGAGUUUGGGAGGUGCUGAAAUCAGGGACCCGCACACUACUGCCCCACCCCGUGCCUCAGUUUCCCCAGCAGAGCUCGGGAAAGCGGGGGUGGGUGUGCAAACCUUCCACGUGUGCGUGUGACACACUUACCCAGGGCUACACGUGCCGGGGUGUCCCUGGCGGC